UACGUAGGGGGCAAGCGUUGUCCGGAAUCAUUGGGCGUAAAGCGCGUGUAGGCGGCUUGGCAAGUCGGAUGUGAAAGCCCACGGCUCAACCGUGGAAGCGCAUCCGAAACGGCCUCGCUCGAGUCUCGGAGAGGAAGGUGGAAUGCUUGGUGUAGAGGUGAAAUUCGUAGAUAUCGAGAGGAACACCGGUGGCGAAGGCGGCUUUCUGGACGAUUACUGACGCUGAGACGCGAAAGCGUGGGGAGCAAACAGG
rnacentral:rRNA from 1 species